rnacentral:sRNA from 1 species
AGCGGAAUUCGUGAGACCUGAUAAACACCUGGUUGUGUUUGACCAAUGUGGAUGAAGAAGUUCUUGAAGCAUGCCAAAUGCUUUGCAACCCUGGAUGGUGAUAUAAUCCCAUCAAACAAUGUGUCUUUUUGAUAUAGGGUGUAAAAGCAAGCACCUAAAGCAUGUCACAGGGCCUUUCCUGGUGGUUCAGUGGUUAAGCAUCCACCUUGAAGUGUAGGGGAUGAAGGUUCAAUCCCUGACUGGGAAACUAACAUCCCAUAUGCUACAGAGUAACUAAACCUGCACAGCUGCAAACACUGAAGUUCUCACACUCCAGAGACUGCAUGCCAUGGUGAGAGUUGGCUUGUCUCAAGGACUAUCUUACGUGCCACAACUAUGACCCAACACAGCCAACUAAAUA